AUUUAAGUAGCUCAGAGGAUAGAGCAGCGGCGUAAUGUCGUAGUCGAAGGUUCGAAUCCUUCCUUAAAUAC
rnacentral:tRNA from 1 species